rnacentral:rRNA from 1 species
AGGACGAACGCUGGCGGCAGGCCUCAAACAUGCAAGUCUAGGGGGUGUAGCAAUACAUCACCGGCGGACGGGUGCGUAACACGUGGGAAUAUACCUUUUGGUUCGGAACAACUGAGGGAAACUUCAGCUAAUACCGAAUGUGUCCUUGCGGAGAAAGAUUUAUCGCCAAAGGAUUAGCCCGCGUUCGAUUAGCUAGUUGGUAGGGUAACGGCCUACCAAGGCGACGAUCGAUAGCUGUUCUGAGAGGAAGAUCAGCCACACUGGGACUGAGACACGGCCCAGACUCCUACGGGAGGCAGCAGUAGGGAAUCUUCCGCAAUGGACGAAAGUCUGACGGAGCAACGCCGCGUGAGUGAUGAAGGUUUUCGGAUCGUAAAGCUCUGUUGCCAGGGAAGAACGCUUGGGAUAGUAACUGCUCCCAGGUGACGGUACCUGAGAAGAACGCCCGGCUAACUACGUGCCAGCAGCCGC